GUAAUCCACAACUUGGCCAACACCCAUUGCCAUGGAAGCCACUUCGUCUUGCAGAUUUUCCACACUCGGACUUGCUGUUAAUCUCCUUUUGCGCCCAAUUUCAACACCUCUUAGUUCUCUCCUUUGUGUUCUCCUCUGAGAUAAUUGGUGGAUAAAUAAUGGAUUGUUGAGAGCUUUAGCAAGAAAUAUCAUUAUCUGCUGUUGUUUUCUCUCUGUAGUUUGCAACCUAUCCUCCAUUGCAGCAAUUGUUUCUCUUGACUGCUGUUGUUGCUGCCUAAGCUUCACGAUUUCUGCCAUUAGCACAUUUCGAUCUCUUUUUAAUCUUUCUACCUCACCGUCCCAUCCAAAUUCUCCCACUUCAACACAAAGUCUUCCACUUUGCUGUUUCAUACUUUGCGAAACGUGUCUUCUCCUCUUGAUGGUUUUCAGCAGAUGCUUCUGCCCUCUCAAAAACCCUUCAUUUGCAAAUUCCCA
rnacentral:misc_RNA from 1 species